GUGUGUGUGUGUUUCCAUAUACUAAAAUUGGAACGAUACAGAGAAGAUUAGCAUGGCACCUGCGCAAGGAUGACACACACACACACACACACACACACACACAUAUAU